GCAGACACAUUCCAGCCAAUCAGCAGCAGACCCUCCCUCCCAGACCCUCCCACCUCCUGGACAGCAUCCAUUUUGAAGCUGCAUUCUUAGUGAGCUGUCCAGGAGGUGGGAGGGUCUGGGAGGGAGGGUCUGCUGCUGAUUGGCUGGAAUUUGUCUG